rnacentral:rRNA from 1 species
AUUGAACGCUGGCGGCAGGCUUAACACAUGCAAGUCGAGCGAGCGGCGGACGGGUGAGUAAUGUCUGGGAAACUGCCUGAUGGAGGGGGAUAACUACUGGAAACGGUAGCUAAUACCGCAUACCAUCAGAUGUGCCCAGAUGGGAUUAGCUAGUAGGUGGGGUAAUGGCUCACCUAGGCGACGAUCCCUAGCUGGUCUGAGAGGAUGACCAGCCUCACUGGACAUGGGACACGGGCCAGACUCCUAUGGGAGGCAGCAGUGAGGAAUAUUGCACAAUGGGCGAAAGCCUGAUGCAGCCGUGCCGCGUGUGUGAAGAAGGCCUUCGGGUUGUAAAGCACUUUCAGCGAGGAGGCGUUGCUCGCAGAAUAGGCACCGGCUAACUCCAUGCCAGCAGGCGCGGUGAUUG